CCUACGGGAGGCAGCAGUGAGGAAUAUUGGUCAAUGGGCGGGAGCCUGAACCAGCCAAGCCGCGUGAGGGAAGAAGGUACAGCGUAUCGUAAACCUCUUUUUUCAGGGACCAAAGCCGGGACCUGUUCCCCGGUUGCGGUACCCUAAGGAAAAGGCAUCGCCUACCUCCGUGCCGGCGGCCGCGGUAAUCCGGAGGAUGCGAGCGUUAUCCGGAUUUAUUGGGUUUAAGGGGUGCGCAGGCGGCCUGUUAAGUCUGCGGUAAAAGCCCGGGGCUCAACCCCGGCGAGUCGUUGAAACUGGCGGGCUGGAGUUGGAGAGAAGUAAGCGGAAUGCGCGGUGUAGCGGUGAAAUGCUUAGAUAUCGCGCAGAACCCCGAUUGCGAAGGCAGCGUACCGGCUCCACACUGACGCUGAGGCACGAAAGCGUGGGUAUCGAACAGGACUAGAUACCCGAGUAGUC
rnacentral:rRNA from 1 species